UGAACCUGAAGAGAGGAGUUCACCUGAGCAAACGUGAAGUUUACCCUGAUAAAGCUCAGCCAUGGAAAGAUUUUGUCCUAUUCUGUGCGUUUAAUAGUUUUGUUUUUUUCAAAGAUUGCUAAAAAGAAGGCGCUAUUCAGGAAUUCUAGGGUAAGGUUGGCGAGUUGAGUUGAAAAAUGCGAAUGAAUGCUAAUUCAGUUUUGUUUCAGGAGACGUGACGAAGAUUAUUCAUAUAUUCUGGGACCUAAUACGGUUUACCGCACUUCCUACAGAACAAAAGAAGUAUCCUUGAAAGUUCAGUCGGAAGGCCUUCAUCUGAUGCAAACGCAAGUCACGAGAUCAGAAUGUCAACCACAGUCCUUGUAGUUCAUCUCUUCGCAUGUUUGAUGAAGAUAACAGUUGUUUCGAUUGAGGCCUGCCGGUCAGUCAGGUCAGUUUCUGACUUUGCCCUCUUCAGACACACCUACAGGCAGAUAUCCGGGACACGCUUUGAAUCUUGCGCCGCGACUUGUGACGCUGACCCACUCUGUUACAGCUUCAACUACUUCGCUCCCACCAUGACCUGCGAACUUAAUAACUCGUCACGACGUGCAGAUUCAGGGAACUUUCUGCGCAGGUCUGGGUCUGUUUACUUGGACAAACUGAAAGAACCCGCGGACUAUUGUGUAUCAUUUCCUUGUAGAAAUAACGGAACUUGCAAGGCAGUAAGGCGCCAUCCUGGGUUUGAAUGUUUCUGUCACGAUGAAUUCACUGGAGCAAAGUGUGAAAGUAAGAAAAUACGCUUAAUGUACCCUUGCAAGUGCGAGCCGAAUUAUCGGUGUCCGCUUAUAUAAGGCCAGGAACCAUAAUCGGGAACGGAGACCGUAAGUCUUGGGAUCCAUGCAACAUAGAACAAAUUGCGCCAUUCUGACGAUUAUGGCUCCUGAUAAGGCAAGACAUUCCAUGCUUGUGUAUCGUAGGGAUCAUGACUCCAUAUCCGCCUAUGAGAGGUCCUUCCUUUCAUAGCAGUGGCUCGAUUGUAUAUUUUCUUUUUUGUUAACUGACAGACCUCCUCCCUUCACGGUCUUGUUACAUGUAUUGGUACGUGAAGUUAACUCUUAAGGCCUGUUCACUUUAUAACGCGUUCUCCGAUUAGCUUGAGCAAACAAGAAAGCCUAUAUCUACAACUGAUUGCUAAAAAGACCCGCACUUAUUUAAGGUGGCCGAACACAGUUUUCAAGAGCCUCUGCC